GUCUACGGCCAUGCCACCCUGAACAAGCCAAAUCCCAUCUGAUCUCAGAAGCUAAGCAGGGUUGGGCCUGGUUAGUACUUGGAUGAGAGAUCACCUAGGAAGACCAGGCACUGUAGGUG
rnacentral:rRNA from 1 species